AGAGUUUGAUCCUGGCUCAGAGCGAACGCUGGCGGCAGGCUUAAUACAUGCAAGUCGAGCGCCUGUAGCAAUACAGGAGCGGCAGACGGGAGAGUAACACGUGGGAACGUGCCCUUUGGUUCGGAACAACACAGGGAAACUUGUGCUAAUACCGGAUAAGCCCUUACGGGGAAAGAUUUAUCGCCAAAGGAUCGGCCCGCGUCUGAUUAGCUAGUUGGUGGGGUAAUGGCCCACCAAGGCGACGAUCAGUAGCUGGUCUGAGAGGAUGAUCAGCCUCAUUGGGACUGAGACACGGCCCAAACUCCUACGGGAGGCAGCAGUAGGGAAUAUUGGACAAUGGGGGCAACCCUGAUCCAGCCAUGCCGCGUGAGUGAUGAAGGCCUUAGGGUUGUAAAGCUCUUUCGGCGGGGAAGAUAAUGACGGUACCCGCAUAAGAAGCCCCGGCUAACUUCGUGCCAGCAGCCGCGGUAAUACGAAGGGGGCUAGCGUUGCUCGGAAUCACUGGGCGUAAAGCGCACGUAGGCGGACUCUUAAGUCAGGGGUGAAAUCCUGGAGCUCAACUCCAGAACUGCCUUUGAUACUGGGAGUCUUGAGUUCGGGAGAGGUGAGUGGAACUGCGAGUGUAGAGGUGAAAUUCGUAGAUAUUCGCAAGAACACCAGUGGCGAAGGCGGCUCACUGGCCCGAUACUGACGCUGAGGUGCGAAAGCGUGGGGAGCAAACAGGAUUAGAUACCCUGGUAGUCCACGCUGUAAACGAUGGAUGCUAGCCGUUGGCGGGUUUACUCGUCAGUGGCGCAGCUAACGCAUUAAGCAUCCCGCCUGGGGAGUACGGUCGCAAGGUUAAAACUCAAAUGAAUUGACGG
rnacentral:rRNA from 1 species